rnacentral:lncRNA from 1 species
GCAAGCAAUAGCGGAUGGCACCCUUUCCCCAUCGCCAGGCCAGCGGCAGCCAUUUAGAAAAUUUUUGCUGUUUCCAUGGUAACGACGGCCAUUUUGAAAAUUCGAAACUCAAAAGUUAAGUCUACAUAAGCUAGGCAAAAUUUGUUAUAAGUUUCAUUAAAUUUAAAGCAUUUUGAAGUUUUUCAUAAUUUUGCUGUUCCCAUGGUAACGGCGGCCAUUUUGAAUAUUCCAAAGUCAAACCCCCGCUGCACUUUUUCCCUCCAUAAUCAUAUAUACCAUUUAAUGUCUCUAGAGUAAAUUUAACAUUGAUGUUCUGGAAUGUUCUGUGAGAAUUCAAAGUUUUGACCUUUUUGCAUUGUUUCCA